UUUUGAAGAGAGCCUUCUGACCCUCGUAGCCAAAGUCAACACCUGUAUACAGUACAAACUAGUCACACAAAUAUCAACAGACAUGACAUGAGGACGACGCACUUUCUCUGUCUCCCUGCCCUCCCUAUCUUCCCUGCUCAACGUCUGUGUCCUGAAUUUUUAGAGUCUUCUUUGUAGCUUCCGAAGUUGCAAAUUAUGGAUCUGGUCAGCUGGUCUCUCAACGUAAUUGAUUAAAAAAAAAUUCCACUGGGAAACCGGGUAAAGGGAGUCCUGACAGUGUCCUCGUGUCCUGACAGAACAUUCUUCGCUGGGUACACGAUGGAUUCUGGAUGGAAGUGGAAGACAGUUUGUCUGACGACACUGUCAGUCGAGGAUGUUGAAGAUGUGUACAUGAUUGAUAACAGGUUUUCUGCUUAUCGGAGUUGGCGGCUACCUGGCUUAUUGGAAAUUUUGGAAGAACCGUACCCAAGGCUGCCGGGUACGGUUGAUGGGAUCUGCAGAGUGAUCAACACUCAGACUGAGAGGAUACAGGAGCCUCAGCUCAGUCUAUGGCUCACCAUAGACUGGGUGCAAUCCCGGAACAGGACCGUGGCCGGACAGCAGAUUUCGGACUCAGAAUGGGUAUGGUGUGACCUUAGGGAACGUUGUUCGCUCAGAUCAGGCGAGAGACCCUAAAAUUUGGCUGUUUGGAUUUGCCAUUGAGAAGCACCAGCGAGAUUCUUUCAAAGUAAACUGAUGUCAGUCUGACCUAAACAAAUUUCUGCUAUUGGAAUCUGGCUUCCUGGGCUGGCCUUCGCUGGCCAGCUAUCCUCCCCUGGUUGUUAUGUCUAAAGGAGGCUCUGUUCUGCUGCCCCUCCCCUCCCUGAGAACAUCUGUGGACCCUGAACUGAUAAGCUGGGGGUGAACUCUGACAUCAUACUCACAGACAAUCACAUGCUUCAGUUAGGGUUCAUGGUCUGACACACACAUAACUCACAUGAGACUCAUAUGCACAUCACACCUCCUCCUCGUACCCAGCUUGUUUUGUCUAUUUGUGUUUAUAUGUGCUUAUGUGCCGAGGUUUUUUUCUGCAUCUCAAACUGCCCUGCAAAAAGCAGAGUUUGAGACAGGCUGUGUUUUUUCCCUCUCCUUACCUGAUGUUUUCCUUGUUUUUUCUAUUUGAUCUGCAAGGCGGCGCCUGUCGGGCUGCAAGGCCUCAGUCAACUAUCCCCCCUCUCUCACUCCCCCCCUGUUGUUGUGUAAUAGAUGGUUGUACUGGAACUGCAAUUUUGUUGUCUUUCUGACAAUGACAAUAAAAUUCUUCUGAUCCUUAUACAUCAA